AUGGGAUCGCUUGCGGUGGUGGCCGUGGUGGUGGCCACGGUGGCCAUGGCCAUCGGCACCGCGCGCGGCAGCGUGUCCUCCGUCGUCUCCCGCGCACAAUUUGAUCGCAUGCUGCUGCACCGCAACGACGCCGCCUGCCAGGCCAAGGGUUUCUACACCUACGACGCCUUCGUUGCCGCCGCUUCCGCCUUCCCGGGCUUCGGCGCCACCGGCAGCGCCGACGCCCAGAAGCGCGAGGUGGCUGCCUUCCUGGCACAGACCUCCCACGAGACCACCGGCGGGUGGGCGACCGCACCGGACGGGGCCUUCGCCUGGGGCUACUGCUUCAAGCAGGAACGUGGAGCCGUCGCCGACUAUUGCACCCCGAGCGCGCAGUGGCCGUGCGUCCCCGGGAAGCGCUAUUACGGCCGCGGGCCCAUCCAGCUCUCGCACAACUACAACUACGGGCCUGCCGGCCGGGCCAUCGGGGUCGAUCUACUGAGCAACCCAGACCUGGUGGCCACCGACCCCACCGUGUCGUUUAAGACGGCGAUGUGGUUCUGGAUGACGGCGCAGGCGCCAAAGCCGUCGAGCCAUGCUGUGAUCACAGGCCAGUGGAGACCGUCAGGGGCAGAUCGGGCCGCAGGGCGGGUGCCCGGGUUUGGUGUGAUCACCAACAUCAUUAAUGGUGGGAUCGAGUGCGGGCACGGGCAGGACAGCCGUGUCGCCGACCGGAUCGGGUUCUACAAGCGCUACUGCGACAUCCUCGGCGUUGGCUACGGCGACAACCUUGACUGCUACAACCAGAGGCCCUUCGCUUAG
rnacentral:rRNA from 1 species